UGGGGGAUAUUGCACAAUGGGCGAAAGCCUGAUGCAGCGACGCCGCGUGGGGGAUGAAGGCCUUCGGGUUGUAAACUUCUUUUGCUCUGAACAAGGCAUGCCUUUGGGGUGUGUUGAGUGUAGGGGUUGAUUAGCGCCGGCUAACUACGCGCCAGCAGCCGCGGUAAUACGUAGGGCGCGAGCGUUGUCCGGAAUUAUUGGGCGUAAAGGGCUUGUAGGUGGCUGGUUGCGUCUGUCGUGAAAGCUCAUGGCUUAACUGUGGGUUUGCGGUGGGUACGGGCUGGCUUGAGUGCAGUAGGGGAGGCUGGAAUUCCUGGUGUAGCGGUGGAAUGCGCAGAUAUCAGGAGGAAUACCGGUGGCGAAGGCGGGUCUCUGGGCUGUUACUGACGCUGAGGAGCGAAAGCGUGGGGAGCGAACAGG
rnacentral:rRNA from 1 species